GAUGAAGAACGCAGCGAAAUGCGAUACGUAAUGUGAAUUGCAGAAUUCAGUGAAUCAUCGAGUCUUUGAACGCACAUUGCGCCCCCUGGCAUUCCGGGGGGCAUGCCUGUCCGAGCGUCAUUGCUGCCCUUCAAGCCCGGCUUGUGUGUUGGGUCGUCGUCCCCCCCGGGGGACGGGCCCGAAAGGCAGCGGCGGCACCGCGUCCGGUCCUCGAGCGUAUGGGGCUUUGUCACCCGCUCGAUUAGGGCCGGCCGGGCGCCAGCCGGCGUCUCCAACCUUCUAUUUUACCAGGUUGACCUCGGAUCAGGUAGGGAUACCCGCUGAACUUAAGCAUAUCAAUAAGCGGAGGA
rnacentral:misc_RNA from 1 species